UACAGGGGGUGCAAACGUUGCUCGGAAUCAUUGGCGUAAAGCGCACGUAGGCGGUUCGUUAUGUCGGAUGUGAAAGCCCUUGGCUUAACCGAGGAAGUGCAUCCGAAACUGGCGAGCUAGAGUACGAAAGAGGAUCGCGGAAUUCCCGGUGUAGAGGUGAAAAUUCGUAGAUAUCGGGGAGGAACACCGGUGGCGAAGGCGGCGACCUGGUCCGGGAC
rnacentral:rRNA from 1 species